UGGUUUAUUAUUAUCUCUUUAGUUAACUAUUAUUUUCAGGUUUCGUUAAAUUCAAAGGCAAAAGACUCCCAAAUGAACCCAAAAUACCUUGACUGAUGAGUUCCUGUAACUCGGUUUACACUGCUGGUAAUCUGUUUUUGUCACGAAAUCAGGCUGGGAUUAUGAGGCGAGACAUGUCAGAAUAGAAGGGAUUGACACGAGAAAUGGGCGUGGGUUCGUGUUCACGAAUAAACACUGACAGCAAUUUGGGGAAACAGCAACUCGCGUUUCACUUUCGAGAGACACCCGGAAGAUAUCCCGAUUCCCGUCCCUUAACAGGCCGCCCAUGUCACAGUCGGAUUGAGUAUCCCAUCAUACACUGAAAGCAUAAUGUAAGAUCACGUGACCAGAAGCACGAUGUCUUCGAAAAUAUGGCGGGUGUUGUGUCCUUUAAGAUAGAAAAGAGAGCUGCAGCCAUAAAGUCUAUUUGCUGAUACUUCUAUAGAAAGAAAUUCCCGUUGAGAUCCCAUAUAAGGCUGCCAUCUCAAGUGUACAUGCAGCCACAUUAACAUGGAGAAAGAAGCAAAGGAAAGCAAUGAACUUCAUUUAGAUGGCUCUUUAGUGAAUCAUGUUUUAAAAGUAAGGUAGUUUUUCAAGACAACGUUUACCUCAAUUGAGUUUCUUGCAAAAUAUUUUUAUUAGGGCGAAGCUCAUAUUAGAGAUUUCACAACACAAAGCUCAAGAGUCAAAAGAGAACAUUGGAAAUUACUGUUCAAUUGUCCAGUAUCUGUCAAAUUGUCUUGUAUCUUGCAAGUUUUCGAGGAAGCCAUGAAUUUUUAAGUUUGUAGCUUUAAAAUUAAGCUAGAGCACUGGCAUUACAUGGAUUUGUUUUCGUAAUCCGAAUUUUCAGCCUAGAAAUCUCAUUAUUAAACUCGUUGAAAUUACUGUCUAAUUUUCUAGUAUCUAUUUCUAGUUUUCAAGGAGGCAUUGAAUUGAUGAAUAAGUUGCGCUUUUAAAAGGGCCAAGAAAAAAAAAUCAAAAAGUGGAAAAAUCGUUCUUAGAAAAAAAAGUCUGCAAUUUUAAAUGGUGUCUGGUUUUGAGUCAAACAUUAUACUGAAUCUUUUGGUGGAAAAAAUCUUGCACUCUGUAGGAUUUUUCCCAUCGAAAGUCAAACUAUAUGUUUGUUUUCUGGCUAGACUCUGUUCAAAAGCGCAGAAGUUUUUUUCUUUUUGGCAACCCUACAUAGUCAAAAAAUAGUGAAAGAGAUAGCCUACAUUUUGACUAGUUACCAGGCCCUUUUAAAAGCGCAAUUUUUUUAUUUUAGUUACUUAUAUUCAAAUUGUUUGUAAUGAAUUUCAAUUGAAUUAUUAAAAAGCCAAUAAAAGUUAUAUUGAAGACA